rnacentral:rRNA from 1 species
AUUGAACGCUGGCGGCAUGCUUUACACAUGCAAGUCGAACGGUAACAGGCCGCAAGGUGCUGACGAGUGGCGAACGGGUGAGUAAUGCAUCGGAACGUGCCCAGUCGUGGGGGAUAGCGCAGCGAAAGCUGCGCUAAUACCGCAUACGAUCUGUGGAUGAAAGCGGGGGACCGAAAGGCCUCGCGCGAUUGGAUCGGCCGAUGUCAGAUUAGGUAGUUGGUGGGGUAAAGGCCCACCAAGCCAACGAUCUGUAGCUGGUCUGAGAGGACGACCAGCCACACUGGGACUGAGACACGGCCCAGACUCCUACGGGAGGCAGCAGUGGGGAAUUUUGGACAAUGGGCGCAAGCCUGAUCCAGCAAUGCCGCGUGCAGGAAGAAGGCCUUCGGGUUGUAAACUGCUUUUGUACGGAACGAAACGGCUCUGGUUAAUACCUGGGGCUAAUGACGGUACCGUAAGAAUAAGCACCGGCUAACUACGUGCCAGCCGCCGCCGUAAAAC